rnacentral:rRNA from 1 species
GACGAACGCUGGCGGCGUGCCUAAUACAUGCAAGUCGAGCGGACCGGAUUGGGGCUUGCCUUGAUUCGGUCAGCGGCGGACGGGUGAGUAGCACGUGGGCAACCUGCCCGCAAGACCGGGAUAACUCCGGGAAACCGGAGCUAAUACCGGAUAACACCGAAGACCGCAUGGUCUUCGGUUGAAAGGCGGCCUUUGGGCUGUCACUUGCGGAUGGGCCCGCGGCGCAUUAGCUAGUUGGUGAGGUAACGGCUCACCAAGGCGACGAUGCGUAGCCGGCCUGAGAGGGUGACCGGCCACACUGGGACUGAGACACGGCCCAGACUCCUACGGGAGGCAGCAGUAGGGAAUCUUCCGCAAUGGGCGAAAGCCUGACGGAGCGACGCCGCGUGAGCGAAGAAGGCCUUCGGGUCGUAAAGCUCUGUUGUGAGGGACGAAGGAGCGUCGUUCGAAGAGGGCGGCGCGGUGACGGUACCUCACGAGAAAGCCCCGGCUAACUACGUG